CUCCAUCAUCACUCCAUCACUCCAUCAUCACUCCAUCAUCACUCCAUCACUCCAUCAUCACUCUAUCAUCACUCCAUCAUCACUCCAUCACUCUGUCAUCACUCCAUCAGUCCAUCAUCACUCCAUCAUCACUCCAUCAGUCCAUCAUCAUUCCAUCAUCACUCCAUCAUCACUCCAUCAUCACUCCAUCAGUCCAUCAUCACUCCAUCAUCACUCCAUCAGUCCAUCAUCAUUCCAUCACUCCAUCACUCCCAGUGCUGUAUCCUUGGGCAAGUUAUUUAUCUUUUCAAACCUCUUUACCACCUGUGACAAGGGAAUCAUUAGAUCAUAAGGUCAUAUGGUAUUAGAUGCUUUUGGCUGGAAGUAAUAGUACAAUAUCCUUAAAAUAGGAUUAGUCCUUGAGGUCAUUUGCUCCCUCUGCCUAACAAGAAGCCCAGAGGGAGGCCUGGAUCCCAACCUUAGUGGAGCAGGGUCUCACUGGCUUACCAGGCUCUGUUGUGCCCACCGCCCACCUGCAGGUCUGAAAUUAUGGUUUUUGACCUGGAAGUACUAAAAUGUCUGUCCCCAGAAAAGCCACACUGUUUCCACUCAGCUGCAGGCCGCCAGCACCUGCCUCAACGUCCAACAGCAAGCAGAAGAAAAACGGGUUGGCCCUGCCUUCUUCCUUAUCAGGGGGAAAUGUUCUCAUGGUUCCCCUUGCAGAUAGCCCCUCACAUCUCAUUGGGCAUAGCUGAGUCAUAUGACCAUCCCUGAACCAAUCACUAACCAAGAGGUGUGGGACUGGCUGGAUGGCUCAGCCAAUCAUAAAGGAGUGCCUCUUUCCUCCGAACACUUCCGGGCUCCAACCGGAAGGGAGGCGCAGUGUAGGCUGGGAAGGAGUCUUCCGGAAGUACUGUGCAAACCGCAGGCCCCUGAGCUGAGCGGCUCUGGGCUAGUGUUUCUCAAAGUAUGUCCUCAGGAUUCUGUCAUCAGAGGCACCUGGGAAAACAGUGCAGAGUCCAGCCCCCCUCCAGACCUACAGAAGGAUUGCUGA
rnacentral:lncRNA from 13 species